rnacentral:lncRNA from 1 species
CAGUCAUUCCCAAAAAAUGGGUACAAUUACAAAAUUUCAGUGUCGCCGGCAAAUAACCACAAAAUGCAAGCUGGACAUUUGUCACAGAUAAUCUUUUUCGUGUUCUAAGUGAUUAAUAUGUAUACUAAAAUAAAAUUAUAUUCUUCUGUGAUGUAUAUCGUAAAUAUAUUUGUGUGAUUUUCUAUUCAAUAUACGGAAAUCACACGAAUUCCGAAUGUCGCCAAGAAAAACUCCAAAUAUCGGUGUGAAUUAAAAUACUUUAUUUCAUCUAAAUCAUGAUUAGAUUUGCUUUUUUUAUUU